GUCCCCGUAGCGCAACGGGUAGCGCGUUGGACUUCUAAUCCGAAAGUAGUGGGUUCGAAUCCUACCUGGGACG